rfam:Schistosoma mansoni strain Puerto Rico chromosome 1, complete genome
AUCCAACUGACGAGUCCCAAAUCGAACGAAACGCGCUUCGUGGAU